GUGUAGUUAGGAAUAAUCAAAAAAACAAGAAGCAAAUGCCGGAGCAUUAUAUUUUUAUUUGGUUGCUAAUUUUAAUUUUAUAAAUCAUCCUAACUUAGCCAUUAUUCAGCAAUAAAAACUUUUCUAAUAUCAUUCAUUCAUCGGUGAAUGAGAAAAGGUGUAUGUUUCUUCGUUUUCUGGUAAUUCUGGGCCCAUCGUUUAGCAGCAUCCUCAACAACACCAUGCAGUAGGACACAUACGCCGCUGCCGCAGGACCUACUCCAAGGUUGAGUUCGGUCAACUUCGACCCAGGACGACGAUAAAUUCGUGUUUUUAUACUUAUGUAUGUAGAUACAGGUUGGUUGCAAAAUAAAAACAUUUCUCGGGAAUUAUAUGUA